GGAGGCCGCGCGGGAGAGUUCCGGCCCCAUUACCAGGGGCGGGGCGCCGAAGGAGCAAGUCCUCCCUUGAAUCUCUCAGGCACAGAUACCGCGCGGGCGAG
rnacentral:ncRNA from 2 species